rnacentral:rRNA from 1 species
UACGUAGGAUGCAAGCGUUGUCCGUAUUUAUUGGGUUUAAAGGGUGCGUAGACGGCUUAUUAAGUUAGUGGUGAAAACAUUCGGCUUAACCGGAUACCCGCCAUUGAUACUGAUAGACUUGAGUGCGACAGUGGGUGUUGGAAUGUGUGGUGUAGCGGUGAAAUGCUUAGAUAUCACGCAGAACACCAAUUGCGAAGGCAGAUGCCUAUGUCGUAACUGACGCUGAGGAACGAAAGCGUGGGGAGCAAACAGG